GGUGCAUCAGCUGAUUUGUUGACAACGGGAGUUGCCACUGGUGUUGUUUUCUCGUUUGGUUCAAUCGCAGUAGACGGCGGCGGAAUCAAUUGCAGUCCAGGUGUUGCGUCAAUGCAAGAACCGUCAACGUCCACCACAUACGAUCGGUCGCUCAGCUUCUCGUUAAUCGUUCCUGGUGUCCAGAACUUGUUGCUUUCCGGAUGUGCUUGUACGUAAACAGGCGUUCCAGUUUGCAGUGCAGGAUUGUUUCCGGGACAUUUUGCACAAUUCGAGGAUCGUAUUUUUUCAUCGAGGCUGGAACUCCGCAUCUUGUGUUGCGUGAAAACAAUCUGCUCACCGGGCUGCUGCCUAUCUUGUUCGGGAUGUUCCUCCAGU